rnacentral:lncRNA from 1 species
CGAAUUCAUCACCUAAUAUGCCUAACCAAUGUACCCUCAUUGGUACUACAUUUUAUAUUUUCAAAUACAUCAACAAUACAUCAAACAUUCAAGACUUUCAUUCAUAUCACAUUUAACAUAAUUGGAAUAUCACUUAGCGGUUUAAGCUACCAAACUUUAAUCUAACACAUACCAAAUAUAAACUAGGCUAACAUACCAACAUAGCCUCAACCACAACCAUAUACACAUUUAAGCAUCAUUUCACUAGCAACCAAGAUAAUCAUAACUUAUAGACAAUAUCAACAAAAGACUCCCUUGGUACAUGCCAUUACAAAAUGAAAUAUCACCACACUUGAGCUCGGGAUUUGUAAUUUGAAGCUGAGUUGGCAAUAAUUCAAACAGUACCUAGCCUGCGCACGGAAAACAAAAUCACACGCUGAGUAAAACUCAGUGGUAUUUCUAUAAUCUAAAUAACAUAAACUUGAUAUAAGUAUUUAAAAUGAAAAAUGCAAAAAGUAAGCUAUGUUCAUGUGUUUCAAUUCAAUAAUAUAAUUUUUGCUCAUUCCUUAUUCACAUCUACUAAGAUUUUCACAUGUUCAAAUAUAUAAGUAUAUAUCAACGGCAUUUCAUUUAACAUUUGAAUAUAUCAUCUCAUGCAAUGGCAUGAUUCAUAUCUUUGAUCAAUACUUGAAUUCAUUCAAGUUUCACAUCUCAAUUCAUCAUUUCAUUUUUCAUUUCUCAUCUCAUAAUCAUUUCUCAUAUUUGCCAUUUCAAUAUUUUCUUAUCUCAUAUUUGCAAUUUCAAUAUCAAUCACACAAAUUAUUAUUUUACUUUCCCAUAUUAACACAACACAAACUCGAACAGAUACACGGAUCCAACCAACACACCAGUUUGGCACCCAGUGCCUUAUCGGAUAAAUCCAAAGUAAUAAGGGUGCCCAGCGCUAUAUAAAUUGACACCCAGUGUCUCAUCGGUUAAACCGAAGCAAAUUGGCACCUAGUGCCUCAUUGAGUCGAGAUCGAAGUAAUCAUUGAACUCUUCCUAUCCUAUGGCAUGCCAUCUAUAUCUGACUCAGCCUAUUACAAUUAAGAAGGAUUCAUUUCACUUUUCAAUACAACCAAUGUUUCAAUUUCAUGAAUGUAUAUCAUCACAUAUAAGCAUAUAUUUAAUUUGAUAAUAAUCACAUUUUUCUCAAUACACAUAUAUUCAUAAUAUACAAAAUCAAUCCAUUUCAUUUCAAUUAUGAAUUUAAUUCAAUCCCAAAUUACCAAAGUACUCACCUCAAAUACUUACCAUAUGUAAACAAUUAUAUAUGCAAUAAUCUACUAUUUAAUUCGAAUUAUAAAAACACAAAUAAUGAAUUUCGAGCUAUUCGACAUUGAUUUUAUCCUUCCCCUUUUUACUCGAGAAUUCAGAUACGACAUUAGCUACGGAAUAAAACAAUUAAAUCACAUUAAUAUUACGCAUUUAAGUUUCACAUUAAAUUUCAAUUUUUACACUAUAUUUUUCUUAUUUUUCAAUUUAGUCCCUAAACCGAGACUAGUUUUUAACCUUCACAUUUAACUUUAUAUCUUUAUACUAAUUUCACUUUAAACUAAAUUUAGCUUCCUCUUUUCCAAUUCGACCCCUUAAUUUUGAUUUUUUCACAAUUUGUCCUUGUUGCUCAAAAUCAAUAAUUUAUUCCAUAAUUUAGUCCUUUUCCAUUUCUAAAUUAAAAAUCUAUCAAUUUAGUCCUAAACAUUUAAACUAUUCAAUAAUGUCAACGUCUAAAAUCUUGAACAAUACUAAAAAUUACAACAUGGGUCGGGUAGCCCUAGGUACCGAGAUUCCAAAAAUAUAAAAAUUACAAGAAAAUGAGACUAAAUUGACUAACCAAUUGAAAUUUGAAAUUUUGGAUCCCUUGCUGCCGUUGGCCACUUUGUUUUUUUGUUUCUUUUCUUUUCUUUAAUUUGCAUGCAAUUGUUUCAUCUUUCUUUCUAUUUCUUUAUUAUGUUUUCAUUUUAUUAUUAUUAUUAUUAUUAUUAAAGUUACUUUAAUAUAUAUAACAUAUACACAUGCAAAUUAUUUAAACCAUAAUCGGCCACCUCCCACCAUUUUAAUAAAUGGUAAAUUUGCUAAUUUAGUCACUUCUCUUUAUUUCAAUCUAUAAUUCAACUUUUAACCUUUACACGAUUUAGUCCUUGUACCUUAAUAACUUCUAAUUUCACAAAAUUCACUAUUCCAAAAAUUAAUUAGCUACCCUACUAAUUAAAUAUUUACGAGUUUGAUUUAUGAAAACAGAGUGUCGGAACUAUAUUUUCUGACACCCCUAACUAUCGGGUCAUUACAAAGGCAGCCAAAGUUUUUGAUAUUGGUGUGAUUUCUAUGCUAGCUAAUCAGGUUAAAGCUCUUGCUAAGAAAAUUGAUGGUUUAAAUUUGUCUAAAUAGGUGAAUCCAGUGAUGCAGUGCGAUGCGAAUGGAGAGGGGAUGCUUAAUUCAGAAUAUUCACCCUUCAAGUCAACUUUAUGGGUAAUAAUUCUAGAUCUAAAAAUAAUCCCUAUAACAAUACAUAUAAUGCAGGUUGGAGGAACCGUCUGAAUUUCUCAUGGGGUAGUCAAGGAAAUCAAAGGUCACAACCCCCUCCGGGUGUUCAGCAACCUUAUUAUCAAUAAAAAAACUGAACCUUGAAGAGAUGUUAGCCAAAUUUAUUUCGAUGUCAGAAACUCGAUUUCAAAACACUGAGAUAGCUUUGAAAAAUCAACAAGCAUCAAGUCAUGGGCUUAAAAAUCAGAUUUGACAACUUGCUAAGCUGGUUUUGAAAAGACAACAAGGUAGCUUAUAAGAAAAGACAGCAAUGUAACUCCAACCCAAAAGAGCAUGUUAAGGCAGUUACAUUGAGGAAUAGAAAGGAGUUGUCUAAACCUGAAAAGAAGUUGGAACAAGAAACUGAUAAGAAAGAUGAUGGAGUGGCAAAAACUAAAAAAAUUCAAACACCGGUACUUAAAGAAUACAGACCACCGAUACCAUACCUAGCAAACUUGAAGAAAGACAACAUGGAUGAACAAUUCGGUAAAAUUUUUAAACUUUUUAAAUAAUUACAUAUUAACUUACCUUUUGUUGAAGCUCUUUCAUAGAUGCCCACAUAUGCAAAAUUUUUUAAACUAUCUACUGUGGAACUCAAUGAGGAGUUUUCAACCAUUCUCCAAAAUAAACUACCGACCAAGCUAAAAGACCGAGGAAGUUUUACUUUUCCUUAUUUUAUUGGUAGUUUAAACAUUAAAAAAACAUUGGCUGAUUUGGGUGCUAAUAUUAAUUUGAUUCCUUAUAAAAUGUUCAAGCAACUUGGUUUUGGGGAACAAAGACCCACUAGGAUGAGUAUUCAAUUAGAGAUAUGUUAAAUAUCGUAGGGUAUUAUUAAAGAUGUACUUGUUAAAGUAGAUAAAUUCAUAUUCCUUAUUGAUUUUGUUAUACUUGACAAGGAUGAGGACAUUGAGGUGCCUUUAAUUUUAGGUCGACCCUUGUUGGCCACUGUUGGAGCUAUAAUUGAUGUGGGUAAUGGUAAACUUGUGCUUAGGGUAGGUGAUGUUGAGAUCAUUUUUCAAAUUUAUGAUGCCAUGUGAUUUUAUAGAGAGUAAGAUGAUUCCUGUUAUUUUAUCAAUUUUAUUAAUCAUGCUAUUCAAGAUUCUUUGAAGGAAAUUGUUCAUAAGGAUACAUUGGAACUGUGUCUUGUUCAAGGAGAGGAGGUCGAUGAAGAUAAUGCUGUGAUAAAUGAGUUGAAAAUUGACCUAGAUACUAAUGAGUCUCCACUGAGACAAAAAAAUUAUGAGGCCAUUGAGGUAAGUAAAGAAACUAAAAUUGAAGCCCUUUAUUGAAGAACCUCCCAAAUUAGAACUGAAGCAAUUGCCAAACCAUUUAGAGUAUGCAUUUCAUGGGAAAAAUUCUACAUUUUCGGUGAUUAUUGCUUCAGAUUUAAAGUCGAAUGAGAAAGAUGAGUUACUACAAGUGUUAAAGGAACACAAAAGAGCUAUAGCCUAGAAAUUUUUAGAUAUUAGAGGGAUCAACCCUUAUUUUUUCACCCAUAAAAUUUUAAUGUAAGAUAAGUAUAAGCCAUGUGUGCAAGCUUAAAGGAGGCUAAAUUCCAACAUGAAGGAAGUUGUCAAGGCUGAGGUAAUUAAACUUCUAGAUACUGGAGUUAUUUAUCCUAUAUCAAAUGGUACUUGGGUGAGUCCUGUGUAGGUUGUUCCUAAGAAAGGAGGCAUGAGUUUUGUGGCUAAUGAGAAGCAUGAGUUGAUUCUAAAAGAACAAUCACGGGAUGGAGAGUUUGCAUUGAUUAUAGGAAGUUGAACGAUACUACAAGGAAAGACCAUUUUCCUCUACCAUUUGUGGAUCAAAUGUUGGAGAGAUUAUCUGGUCACAGGUAUUAUUGCUUCCUAGAUGGGCAUUCUGGAUACUUUCAAAUUCCAAUAGCUCCGAAGGAUCAAGGAAAAUGUUAUUUACAUGUCCAUAUAGUACGUUUACUUAUCGAAGAAUGACUUUUGGAUUAUGUAAUGCGUAUGCUACUUUUCAGCAUUACAUGUUAGCUAUCUUUGAUGAACUCAUAGAAUACAUUAUGGAGGUAAUUAUGGACGACUUCUCAGUAUUCGAUAAUUAUUUCCCUCUUUGCCUUAAUAUUUUAAAACAAGUUUUGAUGAGAUGUAAGGAAAUGAACCUUGUGCUUAAUUGGGAAAAAUGUCACUUCAUGGUUCAAGAAGGGAUUAUUUUGGGCCAUAAAAUUUCUAGUAAAGGGAUCAAGGUUGAUAAAGUAAAAGUUGAAACCAUCGAAAAAUUACCUCCCCCUAAUUCAGUUAAGGCUAUUGGAAACUUCAUAGGACAUGUUGGGUUCUAUAGAAGAUUUAUCAAAGAUUUAUCUAAAAUAGCUAAGCCUUUAACUAAUUUGAUAUAAAAAGAUGUGCCAUUUAAUUUCAUUUAGGAAUGUUUAGAUGCGCUUAAUGUUUUAAAAUAGCAAAGCAUUUAACUAAUGUGUGAUGCGUGUUUUUUUCAGUAAGUGCAGUUCUUGGACAAUGAAGAGAGAAUCAUUUUCAGCCGAUUUGUUAUGCUAGCAGAACUUUGACAGACGCACAAGAGAAUUACACCACUACCGAAGAAGUAUUGCUAGCUAUGGUUUUUGUAUUCGAUAAAUUUAAAGCUUAUUUAAUACUGUUUAAAGUUGUUGUGUAAAUUGACCAUGUAACAAUCCAUUUUUCAAUAAUAUUGGAACCGUGGUUUUGGAACCAAAAUUUUGAUAAGUAAAUUAUUAUUUUAUUAUUUAUUUAGUGUUUACGAGAUUUCAUUAAGGUCGUAUCAAAAUUUCGUUAAGAAAUUUUAAUGUUUAAAUGCUUAGUUAAAUGAAAAAGACUAAAUCGUAAAGGUGAAAAAGUUGAAUUCUAAUAGUUAAGAGAGUCAAAUAGCUUUAUAAGUGAAUGUUAAUGGACUUGAAUGGUAAUUAUACCAUAUAUGUUGAUAGUGGAUGUACAUGGAUUUGGUAUUAUUAAUAUUUUGAUAAAAUUUAAAGGGUAAAAAGGUAAGUUAGUAAAUAAAACUAAAAAUAACAUAAGAAAUCAUGUCCAUGUUCUUCAAUUCAUCUCAUCUCCACUAAAAAUCACCAUAGAAAGGAGCUAGGGCAUCCGGUCAAGUUCAUUUCAUUGCAUGUAAGUGUAUUCAAGCUUGUUUUUAAUGAUUUUUAUGUUUUUGAUCUCUUACAACUAGGUCCAGCUAGCUCAUACCUCCGUUUUUGAACCUGUUAAAAAUUUUGGAAGUUACUGUUGAUGAAUCUUGAAUGUUUUUUUAUGAUAACCAUGUGUUUGAAGCUUUGACUGUCUUAUUUGGAUGAAUUGUGAAGUGGUUCUUGUUAGAUUUUGAUUUAAGGAUUAAAUUGUUAAAAUAUCAAAAUCUCAAGGUUUAAUAAUGAAUUUUAAUGUACAAUAGAGACUGUUAAAAUGGCUAUAAUAUUCAAUUGUAACUUGAUUAUAAGGAAAUAGUCAAUUUGAUGAUUUUCGGGUUAGAGGACUAAAUUGCAAAAAUUGUAAAAGUUUAGGGAAAAUGUGUAAAUAAUAAGAAGUGAAGGGUUGUGUAUAUUAUAUGAAAUGUGAAAUACAUAUGAGAUUAAUAUAUUGUAUUAACUAUCAUAUAAAUUAAAACUAGGAUAAAAAAAACAAUAAUUGAAGAAAAGGAAAAAUAGUAGAUUAUUUCUUGUGUGUUGGUCGAAAUCGAAUAGUAGGUAAGUUCAUAGUGUUCCAAUCUGUAAUGAAUUUCUACUUGUAUUUUUACAUUAUAGUUCUUUAAUUAAAUGUUUAUACUUAAUAAUUAAAUAAUUACACAUACGUGCCCUUGUAAACCUGAAAUAAAAGAUAUAUAUGAAUUGUAUUUAAGUGUAUUAGACUAAAUGAUAUAUUAUGUCCGUACUAAUUUUUGUAAACUUACUGGUUCUUAUGGAUUGAAUUGUAGAUAACUGUUGCUGACAUUUUGGAAGGAUCACCCAGUUCACUCACAAUAUCCAUCAAUGUUGGUAGCUUUUGUGUCCUUUAGGGUAGUGACAUGUAUAUAUGACUAGAUAUGUUUCUUUGGUAUACUUUGAUAUUUUACUAAACUAUGUCAUUAGGUACUUUAAUAUACUUGAAAAUAGGUUCUUUUUGGUGUAACUAGAAUGGUAUGAAAAUGAGUAUUUGUAGUAUGUUUUGGUAUAUGUUUGAAUUAGGUUACUAUGCAUGAAAUGAAGCAAUUUUGAUAUGUUUUGAUAGUUGAUGUUUCGAGAUAAUUGUGGUGUCUUUUAAUGGCAUAUUGGUUGUUGAAUUAGGUUGUUGAAAUGAUAUUUUGAUGCAAGUUUGAAUGAUGUUUAAGUACUAUGAAUGUGUGCUCAAAUAGGGUGAGUGUAUAUGUAUGAAAUGGUAUGAUAAUUAUUUGAUUUUUGGUACAUUUUGGGUACACACGGUCUGAGACACGGUUAUGUGACUUAGCCGUGUGAGACGCAUGACCUAGAGACACAGCCGUGUAUCAUAUGGGGUUUUCAAAGGGAACAAGUUAGUGAGUUACACAGCCUGGCACACUAGCGUGUGGGGCAACUUAGAGAGUUACAUAGCCUGGCAUACAGGCUUUUGACACGACCGUGUGACCCUACACAGAGAGUUACACGGGUGAGGACACGGGGUGGGACACGACCGCACGUCCCUAGUUCGAAGGUUGAAUUUUUCCUAGACUUUGUAAAUGAUUUCAGACUGGUCUCAAAUUGUUUCUAAUGUAGGUUUAGGGCCUCGAGGGCUCAAUUUAGGGACAGUUUGUAUGUAUAUAUUUUAUUUAUGAUUUUUUUAUGUUAUUGAAUGAAGUUAAGUUUAAAUGUUUUUGAUUGUACGAUAAUGCUCUAUAACCUUAAAUCGACAAGGGAUACGAGUUAAGGGUGUUACAUUUACUGGUAUUAGAGCUACGAUUUAAUUGAUUUUGGGACUAACGUAGUAAAGUAGAGUUAGUAUGUACAUGCCACAUAUACCAUGUGAUAGUGUGAUGUUUUUGAUCCGUUCUAAUAUUAUAUUUUUAAAUAUAUUUAAGAUGUCAACUGAGUUGAAUCGGGCUAUAAUUAAUGAAGCUAAAAGUAAUGUUCAAGCUUUGAAUCUAGAAGCAAGUAAUAGGGCGUCAAUUCGACAAUCUUUUGGUGAUGAAAUGAAAAAUGUAUUCCUUGGAAUGAUGAACCAGUGGUUCACUGAAAUCAAGUAAGCGAAUCUUGCAACUCCGCCACCUCCUCCCCCUAAUGUGCCUCCUUCGGCACCAUUGGGUGCUCAAAAUUUUUUACCGGUGAUGAUUAAUCGCAUACCAGUGGAUAAAGUUCAAAAAUAUGGAGCGGAGGAAUUCAGAGGCAAGGUGGAUGAUGAUCUUGCAAAAGCCGAGUAUUGGCUAAUGAAUACAAAGAUAGUCUUCAUGGAGUUGAUGUGCAUUCCUGAAGAUUGUUUGAGAUACGUUGUUUCGCUACUAAAAGAUGAAGCGUAUUUAUGGUGGGACACUUUAAGCAUGAUGACAUCGAGUGAUCGCAUUAAUUAGGAUUUCUUUCAGAUUGAAUUUAGGAAGAAGUAUGUUAGCUGAUUAUUUAUUGACAAGAAAAGGAAAGAAUUUCUCAAGUUAAAAUAAGGAAAUCAGACUAUAGCUGAGUAUGAACUUGAAUUUUUCCAAUUAAGUAAGUAUGCCUGUAAUAUCAUAUCAAAUGAGGAGGAAAUGUGUAUUAGAUUUGGGGAUGGGUUGAAUGAUGAUAUCCGUAUGUCUGUAGAAACAUUAAAGUUACGGGAAUUUGUGAAACUUUCAGAACAAGCUGAAAAGGUUGAAGAAAUUUGCAAAAGUAAACAAUUAUCAGAUUCAAAAUUUCGAGACUUUAACAAAAUGGGGUCGUUCAAGCCUGCUCAAACAUCUCCAUCGAAGAAAUUUAGAAAUGACACAAGUCGAUCAGUUGCCCCUUAGAGUUCACUAGUAGAGAGAAACUGAGGUGUAAGAAAUGUUGAGAGAACCAUUCCUGUUUGUGAUCAAAUUCGGGAGCUUGUUUUCGUUGUGGGUUUACUGACCAUUUCCUUCGCAAUUGUUCGAAGAAGCAAAAUGAUUUUGGUAAUCAAUCAAACAAGCCUGAAGCAACUUCCCAGAGAGGUAGACAAUCUAGUAAUGCCAGGAAUACUACUCUUGGUAGAGGGAAGAAUAUCGAGAUGAAUGAACGGUCUGAAACGAGAACACCAACUAGAGCUUAUGCAAUCAGAGCUCGUGAGGAAGCUACUACCCCAGAUGUUAUUGCGGGUAGUUGUUCUCUCUUUGAUAUUAAUGUAUAUGCAUUGAUUGAUCCUGGAUCAACUCACUUGUAUAUAUGCACUGUAUUAGUAGAUAGAAAUAAAUUACUUGUUAAGUUCACUAAAUAUACUAUCAAAGUUACGAAUCCCCUAGGUUAGUGUGUUUUAGUUAAUCAGAUGUGUAAAUUGUAUCCACUGAAAAUUAGGGGUUACAAUUUUCCCGCUAGUUUGAUGUUGUUACCUUUUGAUGAUUUUGAUAUCAUUCUGGGAAUGGACUGGUUUUUUGAGCAUGAUGCUAUAGUGAGCUGCUAAAGGAAGCAAGUUAGUUUGAAGUGUCCAAAUGGUGAAUUUAUUUGUAUUAAGACAGACGAGGUCGAUUGUAUUACAAAUGUAACUUCGGCAUUGACAGCUCAAAAUUUGAUUUAAAAGGGUUGUGAAGCUUAUUUAGCCUACAUUCUUGAUUUGAAAAUGACUGAAUAAAAAAUCAAACAAUUGCCAAAAGUCAAGGAGUAUGUUGAUGUUUUUCCUAAAGAAUUGCACGGGUUGCCACCAACACAAGAAAUAGAAUUCGUGAUCGAACUUGUGCCUAGAAUAGCUCCAAUUUCGAUAAUGCCGUACAGGAUGACCCCUACUAAGUUGAAAGAGUUGAAAGUGUAUUUGCAAGAGUUGUUAGAUCACAAAUUUAUUUGACCGAACGUAUCACCUUGGGGUACUCCAGUUUUGUUUGUAAAGAAGAAAGAUGGGUCAAUGAGACUAUGUAUAGAUUAUCGAUAGCUGAAUAGAGCUAACAUCAAUAAUAAAUACCUAUUACCUCGUAUUGAUGAUUUGUUUGAUCAAUUAAAAGGAGCUAUAGUGUUUUCGAAGGUUGACUUGAGAUCUGGAUAUUAUCAGCUAGAAGUUAAAGAGCAAGAUGUAUCGAAAACUACAUUCAAAACUAGAUAUGGUCACUAUGAAUUUCUAGUGUUGCCAUUUGGUUUGACCAAUACUCCUGCAACAUUCAUGGAUUUGAUUAAUCGGGUAUUUCAGCCAUAUUUAGAUUGGUUGGUUGUGGUAUUCAUUGAUGAUAUUCUGAUCUAUUCACUGAAAGAGUUGGAUCAUGCUGAACAUUUAAGAAUUGUAAAGAAAACUUUGUGUGAAAAACAAUUGUAUGUGAAAUUCAGUAAAUGUGAAUUCUGGCUGCAAGAAGUAGAUUUUAUAAGACAUGCUAUUUCUGCAGAUGGAAUCAGGGUUGAUUCGAAUAAAAUAUCAGUGAUUGUUCAAUGGAAAUUUCGAAGAACGUUUCUGAAGUUCGAAGUUUCUUGGGUUUAGCUAGAUACUAUCAAUGAUUCGUUAAAAAUUUCUCGAUCAUUACUUCACCUAUGACCAUGUUAUUACAGAAAAACAUCGAAUUCGCUUGGUCUGAUAAAUGUCAAUAAAGUUUUGAUCAACUGAAAAGCAUGUUAACAGAAGCUCUAGUAAUAACUCAGCCUGAAUCUGGAACGGCAUAUGUUGUGUAUAGUGAUUUAUCUCUCAACUGUUUAGGUUGUGUGUUAAUGCAGACAUGGAAAGUAGUAGCUUAUGCUUCUCGACAGUUAAAGCCGCAUGAAAGAAAUUGUCCUACUUAUUAUCUUGAGCUUGUCGUGACCAUCUUCGCUUUGAAGAUAUGGAGGCAUAAUUUAUACAGUGAGAAAUGUCAUGUGUAUACUGAUCACAAAAGCUUAAAAUACUUGAUCACUCAGAAGAAGCUGAAUUUGAGGCAGCGACGUUGGUUAGAAUUACUGAAAGAUUAUGAUUUUGUUAUUGAUUACCAUCCGGGAAAGGAUAAUGUUGUUGUGGAUGCACUCAGGAGGAAGUCAUCAUUGUUUGCACUUUGAGCAUUGAAUACUCAUUUGGCUUUGAAUACCGAUAGUUCUAUACUGGCAGAAUUGAAGACUAAACCCUUUGUUCUACGACAAACUCGAGAAUUACAAAAUGAUGAUCUGUAGUUGAUACUGAAACGAAGCUUGGUUCAGGAUAAUUUGACUACUGAAUACAGUAUUGGUGAUGAUGGUAUAUUGUGUUACCUAAUAGAAUUUGUGUUCCAAAUAGUUCAAAUUUUAAACAUGAUACUCUGUCCAAGGCUCACAAUAGUUCAUAUUCUAUUCAUCCAGGUAGCAUGGAGAUGUAUUGUGAUUUGAAACAGAUGUACUGGUGGCCGAGUAUGAAACGUGAGGCUUGUGAGUUCGUAACCAAAUGUUUGAUUUGCCAGUAGGUAAAAGUAGAGUAUUAGUUGCCGUCGGGAUUAUUACAACCUGUUAUGAUUCCUGAGUGGAAGUGGGAAUGAAUCACGAUGGAUUUCGUAUCUGGUUUGUCUAUAACUCCGAAAAAGAAAGACAUGAUCUGGGUAAUUGUUGACAGAUUGACUAAGUCAACCCAUUUUAUCCCAGUCAGAACGGAUUACUCACUUGAGAGGUUAGCAAAAUUGUAUGUGUUAGAGAUUGUGAGGUUACACAGGGUUUUGACAUAUAUUAUUUCCCAUCAUAAUCUUCAGUUUUCACCUAGAUUUUAGAGUAAAAUUCAUGAGGCUUUCGGCACUAAACUCAACUUCAGUACCGCGUUUCAUCCUCAAACGGAUGGGAAAUCAGAACGAGUAAUACAGAUUCUCGAAGAUAUGUUAUGAUGUUUUAUACUCGAAUUUUAGGGUAGUUGGGAAAAAUAUGUAUCGUUAGCUGAGUUUGCUUAUAAUGAUAGUUAUCAUCAAUCCAUUAUAAAAAUUGCACUUUUUGAAGCUUUAUACGAAAAAAAAAUGUAAAAUGCCGUUGUAUUGUUCCGAGCUGAGCGAAUCCAAAAUGGUAGGGAUCGAUUUGAUUCAAGAAACUAAAGAAAAGGUUCAAAUUAUUCGAGAUAGUUUGAAAGCUACAUAUGAUCGUUAGGAAUCAUACGAAGAUUUGAAAAGAAAGGAUAUAGAAUAUGCUGAUAGCGACUGAGUAUUUUUAAAAGUUUCUCUCUAUGGAAAAAGGUGCUUCGAUUCAGCAAAAAAAAAAGUUAAGUCCGAGAUUUAUCGGACCGUAUGAGAUUACUAAAAGAGUCGGCCUUGUAGCUUACAUACUUGAAUUGCCUCCAGAACUAGAGAAAAUUCAUAAUGUGUUUCAUGUUUCAAUACUAAGAUGAUAUAGCUCUGAUCCUUCACACGUGAUUCCUCAUAAUGAAAUUAAAUUACAGAUAGAUUUAUCAUAUUCUGAAGAACCAGUAAAAAUUUUGGCUCGGGAAGUCAAAGAACUUUGGAAUAAACCAGUACCAUUGGUGAAAGUCUUGUGGCAUCGGCAUGGUACUAAAGAGGCUACCUGGGAAACUGAGAAAUCAAUGAAAUUUCAAUACCCGAAUCUAUUCUCAGGUAAUAAUUUUGAGGAUGAAAUUUCCUAAGGGGGAGAGUUGUAAUAGCUCGUUUUUCAGUGAUAUCAGAAUAGUGGUUUUGGGGCCACAAUUUUGAUUAUUAAAUUAUUAUUUUAUUAUUUAUUUAGUGUCUACGAGAUUUUAUUAAAGCCGUAUUAAAAUUUUGUUAAGAAAUUUUAAUGUUUAAAUGCUUAGUUAAUUGAAAAGGACUAAAUCGUAAAGGUGAAAAAGUUGAAUUCUAAUAGUUAAGAGAGUCAAAUAGCUUUAUAAGUGAAUGUUAACGGACUUGAAUGGUAUUUAUACCAUAUAUGUUGAUAGUGGAUGUACAUGGAUUUGGUAUUAUUGAAAUUUUAAUAAUUUUUAAAGGGUAAAAAGGUAAAUUAGUAAAUAAAACUAAAAAUAACAUAAGAAAUCAUGCCCAUCUUCUUCAAUUCAACUCAUCUCCACCAAAAGUCACCAUAGAAAGGAACUAGGGCAUUCGAUCAAGUUUAUUUCAUUGCAUAUAAGUGUAUUUAAGCUCAUUUUUAAUGAUUUUUAUGUUUUUGAUAUCGUUACAGCUAGGUCCAACUAGCCCAUACCUCUGUUUUUGAAUCUGUUAAAAAUUUUUGAAGUUACCAUUGAUGAAUCUUGAAUGUUUUUUUAUGAUAACCAUGUGUUUGAAGCUUUGAUUGUCAUAUUUGGUUGAAUUGUGAAGUGAUUUUUGUUAGAUUUUGAUUUAAGGAUUAAAUUGUUAAAAUGUCAAAAUCUCAAGGUUUAAUAGUGAAUUUUGAUGUACAAUAAGGACUGUUAAAAUGGCUAUAAUAUUCGACUAUAACUUGGUUAUAAGGAAAUAUUAAAUUUGAUGAUUUUUAGGUUAGAGGAAUAAAUUGCAAAAAUUGUAAAAGUUUAGGGAAAAUGUGUAAAUAAUAAGAAGUUAAGGGUUGUACAUAUUAUAUGAAAUGUGAGAUACAUAUGAGAUUAAUAUAUUGGAUUUAACUAUCAUAUAAAUUAAAACUUGGAUAAAAAAGACAAUAAUUGAAGAAAAGGAAAAACAGUAGAUUUUUUCUUGUGUGUUGGUCGGAAUCGAAUAGUAGGUAAGUUCAUAGUGUUUCAAUAUGUAAUGAGUUUUUACUUGUAUUUUUGCAUUAUAGUUCUUUAAUUAAAUGACUAUAGUUAAUAAUUGAAUAAUUACACAUAUGUCCCCCUAUUUGACUUCGGUACCCCUAAACGAAUUUACGUGCCUUGAUUGUACUCUGGUAAACCUGAAAUAAAAUAUAUAUAUAUAUAUGAAUUGUUUUUAAGUGUAUUAGACUAAAUGAUAUACUAUGUCCUUACUAAGUUUUGCAAACUUACCGGUUCUUAUGAAUUGUUUUGUAGAUAACUGUUGCUGGCAUUUUGGAAGGAUCAACCAGUUGGCUCACACUAUCCAUCAAUGUUGGUAGUUUUUGUGUCAUUUAUGGUAGUGGCAUGUAUAUGUGGCUGGAUAUGUUGGUUUGGUAUACUUUGAUGUUUUACUAAACUAUGUCAUUAGGUACUUUAAUAUACUUGUAAAUAGGUUCUUUUUUAUGUAACUAGAAUGGUAUGAAAAUGAGUAUUUGUAUAAUGUUUUGGUAUAUGUUUGAGCUAGGUUACUAUGCGUGAAAUGAAACAAUCUUGAUAUGUUUUGAUAGUUGAUGUUUUGAGAUAAUCGUGGUAUCUUUGAAUGGCACAUUUGUUAGGUGAAUUAUGUUGUUGAAAUGGCAUUUUGAUGCAAGUUUGAAUGAUGCUUAAGUACCAUGAAUGUGUGCCCAAAUAGUGUGAGUGUAUAUGCAUGAAAUGGUGUGGUAAUGGUUUGAUUUUAACUACAUUUUGGGUUCACACAGUCUGAGACACGAGCGUGUGACCCUACUCAGAGAGCUACCCGAGUAAGGACAUGGGCUGGGAAAAGUCCGUGUGUCCCUUGUUCGAAGGUUACAUGGCCAGAGACACAGGCGUGUGUCUUAGCCAUGUGACCCCUGUUUCCAAAAUUUUGUGACUUUUUAUUAGACUUUUUAAAUAAUUUCAGAUUAGUCCCGAAUCGCUUCUAAGGUAUGUUUAGGGCCUCGAGGGCUCGAUUUUGGGACAGUUUGUAUGCAUAUGUUUUGUUUAUAAUUUGUUUAUGUUAUUGAAUGAAGUUAAGUUUAAAUGUUUCUGAUUGUAUGGUAAUGCUCUAUGACCCUCAAUCGGCGACAGGUACGGGUUAGAGGUGUUACAGACCACUUCGCUCUUUGCUAACUUUUCACUAAAUCGAAUACAAAACCUCGACUUAAAAAAUGGAUUUUAUUAUUGCAGGAACUCGAUUUGGAAAUUAAAGAUAAGAAAGAGGUUAAAAAUCUUGUAGCAGACCACCUCUCGAGACUCAAGAAUCCCCAUAUUGAGCAGCUUAAUGAGAAUGGGAUAAAUGACUCGUUUCCUGUAGAAUGACUCUUUGCAAUAAUCGCUUCUAAAGACCCUUGGUUUACAAGUAUCGCUAACAUCUUACCAAAAGGGUUGACUGAUCAUCAAAAGAAGUGAGUUUUUGCUGAUGUGAAAAAACUAUUUUUGGGGGAUCCUUUUCUUUUUCGUGUAUGUGAAGAUCAGAUAAUUCAAAGGUUUUUUUCAACCAGAAGCGAAUAAAAUUUUGGACCACUGUCAUUCGAGAGCGAUAGGACACUACAGUGGGAUUAGGACAGCACAUAAAGCACUUGAAUCAGGUUUAUAUUGGCCCACACUAUUCAAAGAUGCUAACAGGUAUUUCACUUCUUGUGAUAGAUGCUAGAGAACAGGUAAUAUUUCCAAACAUGAUGAAAUGGCUCAAACUUACAUACUUUCUUGUGAAAUUUUUGACAUUUGGGGUAUUGAUUUCAUGGGACCGUUUCCUAGUUCUUAUGGUAAUAAAUACAUACUGGUAGCAGUCGACUAUGUAUCAAAAUGGGUUGAAGCUCAAGCUUUACCAGCUAAUGAUGCUAGGGUGAUUGUUAGAUUUCUUAAGAAACUAUUUACUAAUUUUGGAACACCUCGAGCAAUCAUUAGUGAUAGGGGUACACAUUUCUGUAACACUCAAAUUGAUAAGAUUCUUAACAAAUACGAUGUACAUCAUAGAACAACUACCCCUUUUCAUCUUCAAAUUAAUGGGCAAGUUGAAGUGUUGAACCGAGAAUCGAAAUGCAUCCUAGGAAAGACUGUAGAGACAAAUAGGAAGGAUUGGGCUUUAAACUUAGAUGAUACUUUAUGGGCUUUUAGGAUUGCAUAUAAAACAUCCAUAGGAACUCCCAUACACACUUGUUUAUAGGAAGAGUCAUCACUUACCACUAGAACUCGAAUAUAAAGCAUUUUGGGCAAUAAAAUUUUUGAAUUUCAAUCCUAAACUUGUAUGUGAUAAGAGCUUAUUGCAACUAUUUGAGUUAGACGAAUGGCGAACAAAUGCUUAUGAGAGCUCGACAUUAUACAAAAAAGCAACGAAGAAAUGCCAUGACACUCAUUUAAAGCAGCCUGAACAAUUCAUAGUUGGAGAUAUAGUGCUUUUAUAUAAUUCAAGGCUCAAAUUGUUUCCAGGAAAGCUAAAAUUGAGAUGGUUAAGUCCGUAUAUGGUAAAAACCAUAUUUCUCUAUGGUACAAUAGAGGUAACACAUCCUGAAUACGACACAUUUAAGGUAAACGGUCAUUGAUUCAAAUCUUAUAUUAGAGGUGACAUUAAUAUCGAGAGAGAGGAGCUUCGAAUCCGAAAUCUAAAUCAGCCUAGAGUAAAAAGGGAAAGUCGAGCUUCAACUUUAAAUAAGCGCUUCUCGGGAGGCAACCUGAGUGUUUCAAUUUUGUUAAUUCCCUUAAUUUUGUUGCACUUUUAAUUUGUUAAAAAAACUGAAUCACACGGCUGGGAGUGGUACACAUGGCCUGGCAACACAGUUGUGUGUAACGUACGGCCUAGAAAUACGGGCGUGUCCUUGGCCGUGUGCAACUAAAGCUAAUUUUUUCCAAAUUUUUUGCGACACACAUAGCAACAGAGACUUACACGAUUUGAAGACAUAAUCGUGUGAGUCACACGACCUAGACACACGAGCGUAUCCUGGGCUGUGUGCAUCUUGGGACGUAAUUAUUUUAGGUUUCAAUUGUUACACGGUCUAAGAUGGUCCACAGGGCCUGGCAACAACGUUUUGUGUGACACUCGGCCUGGACACACGGGCGUGUCUUAGGCUGUGUCCAUACUGGAUUAUAUUUUUCAAUUUUAGUUCAAAACAGUGAGUUACACAGGUGAAAGGCACGAUCGUAUGAAACACACGGCCUGCCACACGGGCGUGUGUGCGACUGUGUUUAUCACACAACCUCGCACACACAACUCUCAUUAUCCCCCUCGUCGCACCACUGUACGUAGCCGUCCCCUUUCCACCUUUUUCUUUCCGUUCAAAACACCCCCACACACCUACGUUCAGCACCAUCGUACAGUUACGCAAACGCACCACCAUUUGGUGUAUUUUUAUUUUUUAUCAAAUUUUUAUUAUUAUUAUUUUAUUGGUAUUUUUAUUUAUUUAUAAUUUUAGUUUUACUUUAUUGCUUGUUAGUCUGCUUGUUAUUUGUACUUUAUUUUGAUUUUUAGUUUUUAGUAGUUAAUUUCUUUCAUUUACUUCUACUUACUCAAUAAUAUUAUUAGUUUUGAUUGAUUUACCCUUUUAAUAGUUGUUAGUAAUAAAUUAUGUGAUUGAUUUUCGUGAGAUGGUUAGUUGAUGACUUGUCUUUACUGCUCAUUAGUUACUGUCUAUGUUGAUAUUUCUAGUUUCCUGCUAUUUGAUUUUAUCUUCUAUUUCAGGUAUAUCAUGAUUAACACUCGCAACAAUUCCAAAUUCGUUGUCUCUGCUUCGAAAAAGCAGAAGACUCCGGGCACGACCUCAUCGUAGGGCCCAUCCUUCGAUGCAUGUCAUCCUUGUCUACGAUUUUCACCGGCUCCUCACAAGGACCUAUAUCAACUUCUUAGGUAAAAACCCUUGGGUUUAGGGCGUUGCAUAGAUUGGAAAGCAUUACAGACAGUACACUUAGUCGAUAGAGUGCAUGCCCUAGUCGAGAUAGCUCAUUGGGACAGAUUCUUCUCUAUCGUCAAGCCCACUUACUUAUAGCUUACACAAGAGUUUUGUUCAACAUUUGUUCUGUAGCACGUGAUGUCAAGACAAGAUGAGCCGUGCGCUAUUUCUUUUCGACUCAGUGGUAUGAUGCAUUAUUUAAGCGUCCUGGAUUUAGAGCUACCUUAGGACUCUAUUCUAAGGAGUUCAUAAGUGUCAAGGGGUUUCUCAGCUUAUACCGGCACAUCCAUCAUUCACCGUCUUUAUGCUGGAUAGAACUUACUGCUAGUACGAUGCCAUAUGACCCAAGUCGAUCGAAUGCGACUUCCCUACCUCCGACAUUACGCUAUAUUCAUACCAUAUUGGUACACACAUUGAUUGGUCAGAGGGAGAGCACCAGAGUCAUUGGUACAUUCGACACUUAUUUUCUUUGGAGCAUGACGAUGCGACGCAUCUUCGAUCUUUCCUACUUUGUCGCCCUAUCAUUUCGCCAUCAGACUGACCAUAAUAGGAAGGAUCCUAUUUGUUUGGGCCUUUAUGUGACUCGUCUUGCACGACAUUUUGGCCUCAUUGGUUCUCUGGAGCAGUCAUCCUCAUUUACAUUGGUUGGAAAGAUGACCCCGCGGGGAUUAUCGAUUAUGAGUCAUAUGAGGAUGAUCGAGCGAUAGCAUGUAGUGGGUCAUCUUCGAUACAGAUUGUAUCAUUUCGAUCCUCAGGAUGAGCAUGCGAACUUCCCCGACGAUGUUCCUUUUCUCCAUGAGGAUCCAUCUCCGAGGCAUCCUACCGCUGCUUCUAUAGUUGCACUUAAGGAUCUUUCUGAAUUGUUUAAUUGCUUCACGCAGUGAUGCUUUGAGCGGUUCGACAACAUUGAUGCGACUUUGUAGCAGAUAUGUCAGCAUCUUCAUAUUUCUCCUACUAAUCCUGCGCCUUAUUAUCCCGACGCAUCUCACGAUGACGAUCACUAAUCUACUUCUGUUUUAUUUGUUUUAUUUACUUUAUUUACAGUUGAACUUCUUUUUUCUUUCCGAUUAUUUUAUUUUUAUUUGUUACACUUCUUUAUUUUAUUUUUAUUUUUCUUUUGAACUAUGUUUUUAUUUUCUUAUUUUGAUGGUUGUUUUUAUUCGAGUUUGUAACCUCUAAAUAUUCUUAUUUAUUUGUGUUUCUCUUCUUAUUAGUUUCUUUGAAACAUGCACUACAUUUAGAUUUGCUCACAAUUCCAAUUUUCUCAAUUCUGGCGAUUUCAUCCAUAUUCAUGGCAGUUUUAGUUCUCUCCCUCUCUUUUGAUAUUGUGCUUAUUCUGUGUUUAUAUCUAUUUGUACAUUGAGGGCAAUGUACAUCUUAAGUGUGGGGAGCUUGUUUAUAUUUGUCAUAAAAUCUCUAAAUUAUUUGUUGUGUUUAAGUAAUUUUCACACACCCUUCAAUAGAGUGAAUUUUUUUAAAAAAAUUUGGAUUUUUUAUUGAUGUUGUGUUGGAUUUAUUUGUGGAUAUUUUUGCAUUGGUUGAUUCAAUCUUUAAGACAUGAAUGAGUCGAGCAUGAUAAGUUUUUUUUUUUUUAGAAAUCAUAUUUUAGGUUGUCUCCCUAAACUAAAGAAUUAUCUUGAAAUUUUGAAUUUACAAGUUUGACAUAAAAAUCAUAAUUUUUGGUGAUUUUUUGAGCCUAUAGAGCAUAUAUUUUCUUUCAUGCUCAUUUUAUUAUUGGUUAUGAGUGUGUCAACAAGAUUUGUUAUUCUAGAAGUUGCUUCGAUUAUGCAUGUCGAGACCACACCAUUGAUUUGAUAUACUAAGAUGAUAGAGACACUUAGGCUUUAACCCACUUAACCUGUAAAAGGCUUAGCUAUUAAAUUAAUCCUUAGUGAACCCCAUUGAUCCUAACCCAUUUUUUUUACAUUAACUCAUUAAUGUUAACCCAUAAUCCAUAUGUUUAUUGUAAAAUUUUCUCAUUUAUUGACUUCCUUUUUGUAAAGAUUUGAUUUGGUUAGUUGCCUAACUAUGUUUCAUUCUUCUUGAACUGCUAAAUUUUAUUCUUGUUGAAUUGUCAAUGCAUGAUUGUUUGCAAAUUAUUUGAGACAUUAUUGAUGAAAAUGAAAAUUUGAGAAAAGUUAGCUUUAUUGUGGGUUGAGGAUUUUGCUUGAGGACAAGAAAACACUUAAGUGUGGGGAUAUUUGAUAAAUGUCAAAAGUAAUGAAUUUUUAGAUGAUCAAUCAACAAAAAAUAGUGAAUUUUAUACUCCUAAUCCUUUAAAUUCAUGUUUCGAUACUUAGGGGAGCAUUUAGGAGCAAAACGAGCGAAAACAGAGAAAAAAUUAGACAAUUUGAGUAGAUUUUAGGAGUCAUACAGGCUGGGACUUCCCAUACGGGCUAGACACACGACCAUGUGCCAGACCAUGUGGAUUUCAUGAUUCGCACUCUGGGCAUGCGAAAAAAAAUGCAAUUUUUAGGUUUUUCAGGCAUUUUAAGACCUAUAAAUACCAAAUAUAAGAAGAUAAAAGAUAGAUGUUAGAGAAUAUUGAUGAAAACAACUCAAAAAAUACCAUUGAAGUCGACUUUAAAGCAGAUUUCUAUCAAGAUUGAAGAUCUCCUUUUAAUUUCUUUGAAGUUUUUUUAUGAGUUUAUUUAUUUCUUGUGGUUAUACUAACUUUGAGAUGUUUUUAUUCGUGAUUAUGAACUAAUUUUUUAAAUACUUAGGGGAGAAUAACCUUAUAAUGAAUUAUAUCUUUUGAUUUCUCAAAUAUUUGAAUCUUGUUCUUAGUUAUGCAUGCUUAAUUCUUGAUUUAAUAUUUCAAGAUUAUUAAUUCAUGUUUGAUGUGCUUAAUUCAGAGGAGGAAUAGACCUUGUUUAAGGCUAGAUUUAGCAUAAUUGAGUGGAGUUGCAUGCAAUCCUAGAAAUAGGACGACAUAAAUCUAACGGAUUAGAGUCAAAUCUAAUAGGGGAAUCCAUAGAUCGAGUUAAUGCGAUAAUAGGGAUUUUAAUUAGAAAGAAAUUUCAAUUAAUUAACCUAGAGUCAAUUGCUCUCCGUCUUAAAGAGAGAUAUUAGCAAAAUUUAAGGAUUUUUACUGAUCAAUAUAUUAAGUGAAUAAAUUGUUCAAUUCUAAUUGAUAAUGACAUAUGCAGUCUAGGUGGAUUCUUUCAUGGGUGUUGUUUCCCUUCUUGGUUAUUAUUCGAUUAUUUUACUGAUUUUUUCUUUGCUGAGUUCUUAGUUAAUUAAUUUAGUUAAUUUUAGUUUAAUUCUGCCACUUCAAUUUUUCGGUUAUAUAAUAGAAAGGUGAUAGUUACUAGUACUUUUAGUCCUCAUUGGAACAAUAUCUUUGCUCACCAUAGCUAUACUAUUUAUUGAUAGGUGCACUUGCCUUUAUCAUAAUUUUAGUUGGUUUCGUAGACAUUAGUCUGCAACAUGGAAUGCACGAGUGACUACAAAUAUAGAUAUUCUACAAUGGUCUGGACGAAAACCUAAGUUUCGGGCUAGAUAGAGAAUCAAGAGGAGCUUUCAUGAAUAAAACUAUGAGGGAACUUGUUAUUUAAUAGAGGACAUGGCUAUGAGCUCAUAGAUGUGGCCGGUAGAAUGACUCAAUUAUGAUCCAAGACCCCCAACGGUCAAAGUAGUUCAAGAGGAAGAUAAUCAGUAGCAAAUCCUCGAAAAGCUCAACUGAUUAGAGAUGGGUUCCAACCAACCACUGACUCUUGAGGCAUAUCAAACUAGGAAUUAUUCACCUAGAGGUCAUGGUGACAAUGCAAUAUGGAGAGGUUAUUUUGAGUACCAGCCUGAGGAAGCAAAUUAUUUGGGAAGUAGGGUUGGAAACCCCUAUUCCAAUACCUUUAAUCCUGGUUGGAAAUAUCACUCCCAUCUAAAGUGGGGAGGAAACCAAUGAGGGAAUUUCAAUCAAAACAGAGAGAUUCCUCCUUAUAAAACACCCCAUAUGGCUAAGCCUCAGGAGUACGAGUAGAGGUACACAAAUAAUGAGCCCCAUGCACAUGAACUAAAAGAAGAGCUGGAUUUGUUGAAGGGUGAUAUGAAACAAUUAACAACACUAAUGACUCAAAUGCAAAAGAAAAUGGACAGUUGCAUGUAAAUUUUAGAGGCUUAGAUGAGUUAGUUGGUGAAUUCUUCUUAGAGGAAUAGGAUCACAAGCAUUCCAAGCAACAUAGAGAAUAAUCCUAGGAGAGAUGGAAAGUAGCAAGUGAAUGCAAUUACGCUAUACUCGGGUACAGUUCUGGAAAGCCCAAGUAUUCCAGCUCUAGAAGAAAGAACUAAAGAAAAAUUAAAUAGCCUUGUGGAUGACUCUCUAAUUGAGGAAAAUACUCAGAAUGAAUAGGAAAAUGUAGCAGAACCUGAAUCGAAGGAGAGUACCAAGUCAAGCAAUAAAUCUAUACCAUUCGAUCAAGGCUUGAGGACAAAAACAAAAUGAACGAGAUUGAAUUUUUAUGUUUUCUUAACUUAUUUAAGUCCCUAAAUAUAAAUCUACCCCUACUGGAAGUAAUAGAUAAAAUUCUGAAAUAAGCCAAAUUUUUAAAAGAAAAUCAUUGUUAGCCAUAGAAAGCCAAAAAAGGGGAACAAAUAAGUAUAAAUGCAUUAUGUAGUGUUAUCAUCACUAAAAAGGUACCCCUUAAGUUAAAAGAUUUGGGCAUCUUUAAAAUUCCUAAGAGAUAGAGGAACUAAACUUUGGUAAGGCCUUAUGCGAUUUAGGGGCCAGUAUAAAUUUAAUACCCUUACCUAUUUAUAGAAACCUCAGAUUAGGGGAACUUAAGAACACCACGAUAACACUACAAUUGGUUGAUAAUUCGUUGGUACACCCCCAAAAGGUUUACUAAAAGACAUAUUAGUCAAAGUAAGACGGCUUAUAUUUCCUGUAGAUUUCAUUGCCUUUGACUUUAAGGAAGAUCUUGAGAUUCCCAUCUUGUUGGGAAGACCGUUUUUAGCCAAAUCCAAGUCCACCAUCAAUUUAGAGAGCAAUGAACAAAUAAUUAAAAUCGAUGGGGAAGUGCAACUGUUUAAAUGUGGUAAUCCCUCGAAGGCUGAGGAAAAUGCAGGGUACUUAGUGGAAAGCUGCAAUGCAUUACUUUUUCGUACCACUAACAACCUAAAUCAGAUGUAUUCUCAUUAUCUCAUGUGUGCAGGAAAAAAAAGCUAAAUGCUUGAGCAAGGUGUUGGAAAAAUCUCAGUUAGAAAAUGAUUUUAUUGCAUAGCGAAAAUUUAAAAUUUUGAAAAUUGACUCGAUUUGUGAUAUUUAUAGGAAUAAACCUUAACCAAAUUCAUACUUGUUUUUUUGGCUUAGUGAAUGUUCGUUGUUCCCUGCAUUCAACCAAACAAUCCUCUCUGCUAUUCUUGUACCACUAAUUGCUUUGAGUGUGGGCUCGAGCCAAUUGAAUCGAAACACAAAACUAGAAAAAGAUCUCUCUUUUAGGGGUGAGAAUGAAAAUUCUCUCUUCUUAAUAGAAAUCGAUAGAAUUGUUAUUCCAAAAAAUUAUGUCAUAGUUGAGAAUAAAUUCUAUCUAUUUUUUGGCAAAAUAAAAACCUCUUAAAAUUGUGUUAAUAGCUCUCCUAGUGUCAUCUAUUUACAGGAAGAGAAGGUAGAACCCUUAUUGAGUUAUAGUGGUUUAUUACAAAGAGAAAAACAUCCUACUUAGAAUAGGACUAGGGUGGACAGCACACCCUAGCAUUUCCUACUAGGGUUGCUGCCCACUUCAUGUCCAUGAGGGGUUUUUAGGCCUCUCUCACAUCAGGUCCAAUUAUGAGUACUUCCUGAGCCUUUUUAACCUAAUACUCGGUAAUGUGACCCAAACCAAUUUAGUUUUUUUUUUGUUUCCCAAAAUAAACUUUAAUAUUUAUAUAUAUAAAAAAUUUCUCAUCCCUAUUUUACCCCAAAAAUUUUUUAAUGAUUUUAAUCUUGGUAAAAUUUUGACGAUUUUUCCUAGUAAAAUUUAGAGAAAAUAUGCUAAACUUGUUCACUAUGACCAAAUGGUUUAUUUUCAUUUUCGGGCCUCAAAACAAUCCAAAACAUAAACUCAUUCUUCCAAUCAUUUUUUAAGUAAUCAAUAUAGGAUUGAAAAUGGAUUAUUUCCAUUUUCAUUUUCAUUUCCAUUUCCAUUUUUGGAAACCUACAUUCAUUUCAAAAUGAUUUCAUUGCUCCUUUUCAGAGAAAACCAUAACGGUACCUGAAUGUUUCCCAUUUCUCUUUUCCUAUUCAUUUUGUUCAUUUUUAUUCAAACACGUAAUUCAUUAUUAUUUUCAACGAGCUAGAGGAGGGGUCGAUUGGACAAAUGUAGUUAAGGCUCAAAUGAUUUAUAAUUAAUUUCUAACUUUUUGCCUAUUAAUUAUAAACUCAUUUAGUCUUGAAGUCAUUUCACAAUAGUAUUGUGAAUAGCUAUGAAUUCCAUUAUUUUGGGCUAUGAAUUCCACUGUUGUAAAUAACGCUACAUAAUGUAGAAGUCAUACACCAAAGCACCAGCUUUUGGUUCCUUAUCUAUUUGAACUCAGGCUUUUACUUACAUCAAAGUGUACCAUACUGUGAACGUCACAAGUUAAUAAAUCAAUAAAUGGAUUCAGGAUCUAUUCUACUUGGGUCUAGUCCGAUGUACUAUCAAUCCAUUUAGUCACAUCUAUCUCUCUAUCUUCUAGGAGUCGUCUGCUCCGACGCCUAAUAUAAAGCAUCUCCAUGAUAGACGGCAUAUUAGUCUUUCAAUUAAUUUGCUCAUUUUAGAUUAUACUAAGGACAUGUUUAGGUUCGUCUGCUAAUGGAAGUUGUCUUUCUAUAUACAAUCUGACCACGUAAUACUGCUUAGUAUUAGUUAAACAUUAGACAACCAUUAAGCAAAAAUUACUUAUAUUUUGCUUUGCAUACAAAAAACAUGUGAGGAAAAUAUACAAAUUAUUAAUGAAUUCAUGAAUAAUUUUAUUAACUAAUCUGUUCGAAAAAUUACAAGUGUAUUUAGACGAAAAUACUACACUUAGGGCACUAUAUCCAAUAGUCUCUCACUUGCCCUAGUGAAGUAGAUAAGUCAUGUUUUGUAUUCUUGUGUCCCUCCAUAUGUUUCUUAAAGAGCUCUCUAGCUAGUAGAGCCUUGGAAAAAAAUCCCCAGGGUUUGUUCUCAUAUGUAAUCUUUGACAACAACCACUAUUCUGUCAAACACUAUCAUCUCUCUUAUGAUACUUUGUAUCAAUGCAUUUUGUCUUUAUGUGGUUUCUUUGAGCCUUAGCUAUAUCCACACUAUUACAUAACUUUUUCCAUACCUCAUAGUCACUCCUCUAUAGUGAACUUAGUACUGCAACCCUGCUUGACAUUUAUUCACACUAUGGACCCGUCGUCUAUGAUAAAAUACAGCCUGAUGUCGAAUUUCUCGAAUCCUGGCACAUUUUGAAGUCAGAAUCAGCAUAUCAAAUAAGAGUAAGAUCUCCUCUGGAAUACACAAGUAUAUAAUCACUCGUUUUCCGUAAAUACUUGAGUAUGUGCUCAACUGCUUACUAAUGGCUUGGUCUUGGAUUCGCCUGAUAUCGACUUACCAACCCUACUGCAAAAUAGAUAUCUGGGUGUGUGCUAGCAUAGCAUACAUGAUACUUCUUACUAUCGAAGCAUAAUGAACCUUUUUCAUGUUUUCUCUUUCUUCCACUAUCUUAGGAUAGUCCUCUAAAGAGGCAUGAAAACUCGUUAUAGAAGGUUAAUUUCCCUUCUUUGAAUUGGUCAUUGCAUAGUGCUCCAAUAUCUUGUCUAUAUAUGAAUCUUAAGAUAGUGCUAUCACUUUUUUCUUUCGAUCCUUUAAGAUUCAAAUACCUAGAACAAAAUUAGUUUCUCCCAAGUCUUUCAUACUAAAUUGUUGGGUUAACCACAUUUUAAUCGAUGACAAUGUCUCUACAUCAUUUUCAAAUGGUAGAAUGUCAUCGACAUAUAGAAGGAGAAAGACUAUCUUUCCAUCACCUAAACUUUUAUAAAUUACAAGGUUCAUCUACACUUUGAUCAAAUCCAAAAUUCUUAACUGCUUGAUCAAAUCUUUGAUUCCAUGAGUGGGAUUCUUGCUUAAGUCCAUAUAUAAAUCUAAGUAGUUUGCAAACUUUAUGCUCAUUUUCUUUAGCUAUAUAUCUGGUGGAUUGCAUUAUGUAGAUGCUCUCUUCAAGAUAGCCGUUGAAAAAUGUUGUCAUGACAUCUAUUUUCCGGAUCUCAUAAUUGAGAGCUACUGCAAUGGAUAGUAAUAUGCGGAUUGACUUGAGCAUGGCAACCGAAGAUAAGGCUUCUUCGUAAUCGAUACCUUCUUUUUAUGUAUAAACUUUUUGCUACAGGUCUGGCCUUAUAAGUUUCCACUUUUCCAUUCACAUUUCUUUUCCUCUUAUAUAUCCACUUACACCCUAUGGGUUUUAUACCUUCCGGUAAGCAUACAAGUUUCCACACUGAAUUGGAAUACAUAGAGUCCAUCUCAGCUUUCAUAGCUAUUUUCUAGAGCUUAAAAUUAGCAUUCUGCAUCGCUUUGUCAUAUGUGAGUGAGUCAUCAUUUUCCUAUCUGAUAAACUUAGUGUUAAGAACACUUCGGCCAGAUGGGAAGAACUCAGGCGUACGCGAGACCCUCCCACUACAGUGAAGCUCCCUAUGUUGCUAAUCGUUUGCAGGUUUACUAUUAGGAGUUAGUUCUAGAAAUGUUUCCAUAGGGUUUUGUAUAUUUGCCAAAAGCUUCUCGAAUACCUCUUUACUCUAAGGUUUGAAGUCAUUCAUGUAACUUUCUUCAAGGAAAGUAGCAUGAGUUGAGACUAUAACAAUUUGCUCUUUCGGGUUAUAAAACAAAUCACCCUUUGUUCCUUUUGGAUAUCCUACAAACAUGCACAAUUCUAUCCAACUUCCUCGCAUCUUUAUCUAAUACGUAGACAGGGAAUCCCCAAAUCCUAAAAUGAUUAAAAUUCAACUUUCUAAAAUGCCACAAUUCAUAUGGGGUUUUCAAUGCUGCCUUAGUUGACACAUCAUUUAGAAUAUAGCAAGUUGUUUGCACAGCGUAUCCCCAAAAAGAGAUUGAUAGCUUCAAAUAACUUAACAUUGGACAUACCAUUUCUAACAGUUAACUCAGAUAUAAUCCCAUUCUCUAUGAGGUACCUUAAGAACUCAUCAGAUAAAUAUUCCUCACAUUGAUCAGAGCAAAUUGUCUUUAUGGGUAAACCUAGUUGUUUUUCCACUUUCGCACGAAACUCUUUUAAUUUAUCAAAGGUUUCACUCUUACGAUGUAUCAAAUAUACAUACCCAUAUCUGGAAUAGUCAUCAAUAAAAUUUACAUAAUACUCGUAACAACCUCUUACACUAAUGCUCAUGGGGCACAUACGUCAAUGUGCACAAGUUUUAGGGUUUUUUCGACCCUCGCUCCUUUUGCAUUAAAAGUUUGCUUAGUCAUCUUACCUUCCAAGCGAGAUUCACAUUGUGGAAGAUGUACUUCUUUAAGUGAACUUAAAAUGCCAUCUUUCACAAGUUUAGUGAUUCUUUCUUGAUUAAUAUGACCAAGUCUCAAAUGCCAAAGGUACGCCUGUUUAGAGUGAGAAGUUUUAAAUCUUUUAUUCGAUAUUUUAGUCUCAAGUAGUAUGUACAUCUUUGAUUUGAUAAAAUAGAGAUUAUUUGACAUCCAUCCGUUAUAGAUAAGAUUGUGAUUUCUAAAUAUUGCAAUUCCAUUAUUAAAAGUCACGGUUAAGCCGUUAUUAUAUAAACAUGCAACGAAAAUUAAGUUUCUUUUAAAACUUGGCACAUAGAAAAUGUCUCUUAAAAUAAUCUUCUUAAAAUGAUCAAAAUAAAGAUGUACAUCCUCACUGAUUCAGUUACCACACUUGUCUCAUUCUCGGUCCACAAUGAUUAGCUCUUAUCUUUAAGAUCUUUUAUCUCCUCGAGCCCUUGUAGACAAACAUAAACAUGAUUAGUAGCUCCUGAAUAAAUGACCUAGUGGUCUAUUGAAUUUUCCAUUAAACAAGCUUCUAUCAUAAAGAGUUUCAUACCUUUUCCUUUGGUUGCUAGGUAUUCCUUUCACUCUUUAGAGUUUGCCUUGAAAUACCCUUUCUUGCUAUAGAAGAAACAUUUAGACUAUAGAAGAAACAUUUAGAGUUUGCCUUGAAGUACCCUUUCAUACCUUAGUCUUGCCUUACUUAGCUUGCUUUCCCCUCUUUUUUAAGGAAGAAGUGAUGACUAUAUUCGCUUUUUUGGACUAGCUGAUCACCAUUCUACAUCAGCUCAUAUGAUUGUAACUCCUUCAUGAGGUGUGUGAGCAUCAGGUUUUUGUUGCCAAGGUUAUAUACAGCUCGAAAACCACCAAAAUCCUUAGAUAAGCUUUUGAAGACCAUCUCAAUUUAAGUGUUCUGGUCCAUAUUGGCCUCUUUGUUCACGGCUUCGACAAAAUAGCCCACAAGAGUGAUCAUAUGGUCUUUGACUAGAGUGCUAGGCUUUUGCUGGGAAUUCAUUAAGCUAGUUAUAACAAAUUGUUUAGCCAAGGUAGCUUGGCCUCUAAACAUAUCUUCUAGCUUAUCUAGAAUUGCUUUAGCAGUCUUAUAACUCUCCAGUUGCUUAUACAGACUAUUGAUCACGCUUGCCAGCAUAUAGUAAUGAGCUAUCUCAUCAGACUUCCUAACAUUUUCUAGCCUCAGCUUGAGUGGCUGAAGGGCACUUAAUAUCAAGAACUUUUUUAAAUUUCUCACAACUUAGGACAAUUAUCAGGUUCAUUUUCCAUUCCUUAUAGUUAUUUCCAUUCAGUUUGUUUUCAAUGAGUAUGUUCAAUAAGGGAGUUGGUGCCAUUUUCAGACUGAAAAUAAAAAACUCAUAUUAACAUUUUUAUAUUAAGCAAAUGUUUAAAAACAUUUUGCAACAUUAUAGUAUGCACUAAGAUGAUACAUGCGUCUUACAUUAAACCUUGAAAACAUUUAUAAGUUGUUGCAACGAUAUUUCCCACACCUAUUGAACCAAGCCACCGUGGAGUGAUCAUGAUCAACAAGUAAGAACAUGAAUUUCCAUAGAAUUAGUACACGAUAGAAGUGCUCAUGAGUCGGGCGGCCCGAAAUAUGGGAGGGUUCGAGUAAAAAUAUAGGCCUGAAAUAUGGGUUUAGGCAAAAAAUAAAGCCCGUUUUAAAAACAGGCCGGGCCUCGGAUAAACUUUUUUUGGCCUGGGCCCGGCCCGAAUUUAAUUAAUAUUUUUUUAUUUUUAAUAUUUAUUAUAUGUCAACUGUCAUUAAUACAUUUCCCAUUUCCCUUCCCUUCCCUAUUUCCACGACCCCAGAUAAAUCCCUAACCCCUUCUCUCCCUUUUUUUCCCCCAAAUCGAAAAUCCACCUCCACCUCCACGACUGCACACCACGGUGCUUCUAGCCUUCUUCGUCUUCUCAAAGGUGAGUUUGCUGUUAACCUUUGAAUUAGUUUUUUUCUUUGUGCUUUUUUAUUUUUAUUUUUAUUCGAAUCAGUUCCCUCACUCUCUUUCAAUGGCAUCUGCUAAAAUCAGUCAUUUGUGAUGAACUUCUUAGGCUCACUCUCUUAUAUGCUUAUUCCUGUAUCUAAGUUCGUUUGUUUGCAGUCCAAAUCAGGGAUUCAAAGCCAGUAAAUCCUUGUAGGCUUGUCCUUCCUCGUAUCUUGUAAUAUGAUGAACAUAAAAAAAGAGGGGACUCCCCUCUUGACUUUUGAGUUAAAAGAAGAAAAUGACUGAUUUUAGCCAGUAAAUCCUCGUAUUUUGUCCUUCCUCGUUUUCUAACAAGAUGAUUUCAGUGCAUUUUUUCUGGGACAUGAUGCACAGUAUGAAUUACUUGUUUAUUUUGAAAUGGUUAUCUACUUUAAAACAGAGAUUUUCUUAUUUUGAAAAAUGUCAUCAGUAGUAAGUGAAAUAUGUUCCAAUUGAGGGAUUAUCUGAGAAGUCAACACCCAAAAAUGAUGAUAUAUUAGACUGUAACUUUGCUAGGAAUUGGGCUUACAUUAUUAUUGAUAUUGUUUGAAUUAUUAAAUUAGGGAGUAAUGUAACACCCCGAACCCGAGAUCGUCGCCGGAGUCGAACACGAGGUGUUAACAGACUUCAAACCACUUAUUAAAAAUUUCCCAGACAAGCUGUCACUCUGCGUACUAGUCGCUUUAAAAAUCAUAUCUUGAGUUCUGAAACUCGAAAUCCAGUUCCGUGAAUUUUCCCUAAAACUAGACUCAUAUUCCCAUCUACAUAAUUUUUUCUAGAAUUUUUGGUCGGGCCAAUUAGUACAGUUUAUUAGUCAAAGUCUCCCAUGUUACAGGGAUCGACUACACUGACCUUUGCGCAUUACGACUUGGAUAUCUCCCUGUACAGGGCUUCAAUACUGAUUUCGUUUGUUUCUAUAGAAACUAGACUCAAAGGGGAAUCUAUGCACAUAUAUCAUGACUUCCAGUUAAGUAUGGCUAAAAUUUUACUCGGGUCAACUCGAAUACCCGAUGCGGAUACCACAUGACCCAAGAAGCUAACCUCUCUUAACCAGAACUCACUUAUUGAACUUCGCAUAUAACUGCUUAUCCCGCAAAAUUUGCAACACUAAUCUCAGGUGUUCAGCAUGUUCGGUCUCAUCUCUUGAAUAGACCAAGAUGUCAUCAAUGAACACAACUACGAACCGAUCCAAAUAUGGUCUGAAGAUACGAUUCAUCAAAUCCAUAAAUACCGCAGGGGCAUUAGUGAGCCCGAACGGCAUCACUAAGAACUCGUAGUGACCGUACCUCGUUCUGAAAGCAAUUUUGGGUACGUUCGAAUCUCGAAUUCGCAACUGAUAAUAACCCGAUCUCAAAUCUAUCUUUAAAAACACUGAGGCUCCCUUUAAUUGAUCAAACAAAUCAUCAAUACGCGGUAACGGAUAUUUAUUCUUUAUGGUCACUUUAUUCAACUGACGAUAAUCGAUGCACAAUCUCAUGGUUCCGUCCUUUUUCACGAACAACACUGGUGCACCCCAAGGUGAGAAACUUGGUCGAGCGAAACCUCUAUCCGUCAACUCUUGCAACUGAGCUUUCAAUUCUUUUAACUCGGAUGGUGCCAUACGAUACGGAGCUAUCGAAAUUGGCGUAGUUCCAGGUACAAGCUCAAUACCAAACUCUACCUCCCGAGCAGGUGGUAAACCCGGUAAUUCUUCAGGAAAAACAUCCGGGUAUUCACAAACCACCGGUACAGAUUCGGGUUUCUUUUCUAAUCAUUUGUCAUCAAGUACAUACGCAAGGUAUGCUUCGCACCCUUUUCUUACAUAUUUCUGGGCCAACAUUGCUGAUAUUACAACUGGCAACCCCCUUAAGUCCGUAGACUCAACUCGGAUUAUCUCGUUAUUUGCGCACCUCAAAUCAAUAGUCUUACUUUUGCAAUUCACAACCGCAUCAUGCGCGGUCAACCAAUCCAAACCAAGAAUAACAUCAAAUUCAUCAAACGGCAAAAGCAUCAAGUCCGCCAGAAAACAGGAAUCUCGAAUUACUAAGGGGCAUUUCUUACAUACUUUGUCGACAAGCACGUAACGACCCAAGGAAUUUGACACCCGAAUUACGAACUCAGUAGACUCAACAGGUAGAGUCUUACUGGAUGCUAAGGUUUCACAUACAUAUGAAUGAGUAGAGCCAGGGUCAAUCAAUGCAAUCACAUUAGUAUCAAAGAGAGUGAAGGUACCAGUGAUGACGUCAGGGGAGGAUGCCUCCUCUCGUGCGCGAAUGGCAUAUGCUCUAGCAGGAGUACGGUUCUCGGCCCGAACAGCCAUAUCAGAGGCCCCUCUCUGACUACCACCCCUACCUCCUAAAAUUCUCGGUGGUCUACCUCUAGUUGUCACUUCACUAGGUCUUGCACCUUGAAUCUUAUUCUUCUCAUCAAGCUCCGUGCAAUCUCUAAUGAAGUGGUCCUUCGAACCGCAUCCGUAACAGGCCCUGUUAAUAGACUUACCCCAACAUUCACCUAUGUGUCGUCUUCCGCAUUGGGGACAUUCAGGUUUCUCUAGACGAUUAUUGCCCACACUAGCUACCGAAGUAGCUCGGGAGUCCGUCAAUGGUCGUGCUCUGAUGGAAAUUCCCGCAGUCAUCUUCGACUUAUUAGUGUCCUCCCUGAACUUCUUUACAGCUGAGAAUGGAGCUUUACCCGUCGAUCUUUUACGAUAGUCUCUAGCUUCAAAUUCAGCCUUCUUCCCCUUUCCAAGUUCUUCCGCCUUGCAGGCUCGUUCGACUAGUGUGACGAAUUCUUUUAUCUCCAAAAUACCCACUAGUAGCUUUAAAUCUUCAUUCAAUCCUUCUUCGAAUCUCUUGCACAUAGCAACCUCAUCAGCUACACACUCCCGGGCAUACCUACUGAGUCUUACGAAUUCAUAUUCGUAUUCAGAUACUGUCAUACGGCCUUGCUUGAGUUCCAAGAAUUCUUUACGCUUUUGAUCAAUGAACCGUUGACUAAUAUAUUUCUUUCGAAAUUUCAUUUGAAAGAAGUCCCAAGUUACUCGUUCGUUUGGGACUAUGGAAAUCAGGGUCCUCCACCAAUAGUAGGCUGAGUCCCGCAACAAGGAUAUAGCACACUUUAGACAUUCAUCGGGCGUGCAUGAUAGUUCAUCAAACACCCAAAUGGUGUUAUCAAGCCAUAACUCAGCCCUUUCAGCAUCAUCAGUAACUAUGGCCAUAAACUCCUCGGCCCCGCGCUUCCUAAUCAAGUCUACAGGUGGCUUACUCAGCCUCACAGGAUCAGUAACUGAUGGCAUUACGGGCUCUUGGGGUGGAUUAUUCAAAUUCGAGAAUUGUUGGACAGCCGGAUUGGUUCGGGCAUAUUGCGCGACCCACUCAUUCAUGGUAAAGAAGGCUUGUUUAGCCCCCUCACAUUGAUUAUUCGCAGAUGACUGAGGUUCAACAGGCGGCAUCCCUUGUGCAGGAGCAGCCGCUACACUUUCAACGUCAUCCGCCAAGGUUCUCUCUACACCAGGAUCCAUUCACUAAUCACAAUAAAAAUUUUAACCGUCAGAAGUCAUCACAUUUAAACAUUAACAUUAAGGCAUGUAUAGCUAGACUCAUACGUGCUAUGAUAGUCCUAGAACCGACUAAACCAUGGCUCUGAUACCAAUCAAAUGUAACACCCCGAACCCGAGAUCGUCGCCGGAGUCGAACACGAGGUGUUAACAAACUUCAAACUACUUAUUAAAAAUUUCCCAGACAAGUUGUCACUCUGCGUACUAGUCGCUUUAAAAAUCAUAUCUUGAGUUCUGAAACUCGAAAUCCAGUUCCGUGAAUUUUUCCUGAAACUAGACCCAUAUUCCCAUCUACAUAUUUUUUUCUAGAAUUUUUAGUCGGGCCAAUUAGUACAGUUUAUUAGUCAAAGUCUCCCAUGUUACAGGGAUCGACUACACUGACCUUUGCGCAUUACGACUUGGAUAUCUCCCUGUACAGGGCUUCAAUACUGAUUUCGUUUGUUUCUAUAGAAACUAGACUCAAAGGGGAAUCUAUGCACAUAUAGCAUGACUUCUUAUUAUCUCUGGUUAAUUUAUAAUGAAUUUCCAAAGUCGGAUCAGGAAAUCCAGAAAUCACUCUGGCCCUGUUUCACAAGAGUUUAAUUAUCUCCUAACCUACAGCUCAUAUGGUCGUUUCGUUUCUUCUAUAUGAAAAUAGACUCAUCGAGCUUCGAUUACAUAAUUUAUUCAUUAAUUAAUUCCUCUCCUACUAUUUUUAGUGAUUUUUCAAUCUCACGUCACUGCUGCUGCCAGCAUCUGUUACUAAAGCAACUAUGCCUAUUUCGUGAUUUCUCCUUGAUCUAACUAGUAAUUCGUCAUACAUAUCACAAAUUAUGAUCAUGACUAGUCAUGCCAAAGGCUAAUCAUUGUCAAACAUCUCUCUACUACACUAUUGCCAUAUCAUGAAUUUUAACACCAAAAAUAAUCAACCAUGACAUAUGGCAUAAAAAUCGAAUUUCCAAGACUUACGACCUAACAUUAUAGAACCAAAUCCAACCGAACAUUUAUGCCAUUUUCGCAUGGCUAAAAGUUUACAUACCAAAUUUCAACAAAACAUAUUAGCCUAUACAUGCCGAAAUGUUCUCCUAGACCCACUAAAAAGAAGAUACCAAAAGUUGCUAGCCGGUGUGAUGACUUCGAUGACGGCCCGAUCACGCAAAAAGAGACGAGUCCAAUAAACCUAGAAUAGGUGACAAGGAAACACCGAGUGAGUAUAACUCAGUAAGUCAUAAGCAAUGCACUACCAUCCAUUAAUAACAUUAUCACAAGAGGAAACAAAAUGGAACGAGGCUAGUUACUCCAUCCAUACCGAACCAUGCCAUAGUUCUUCAGACCUAUCGGUUCAAUCUCAUACCAAAUCAUGCAUUCACAUUCCACAUACUAAUCAAUAGGAUAUUUGAGGCAUUUUUAUACAUCAUUUUAUUUUCGUUACAAUCAUACAACUAUACGGCCUUUCACCUAUUCCACAAUAAAUCUUAUGUACGUGACUUCAAGUAUAAUUGUCACAUAGGUUCAAACUUACCAAGCUCAACUCCAAAUAUAAACAUAGCGCCUAUUAGCCAUGAACUCAAGGUACUUACCCGAUCCGCUGUCCUUGAUCAACUCAAUAAUGUCGCACACUUAGUGUCCAUAGUGAUUCAAAAAUAUAUAUUAAGUCCGCACACUCAGUGCUAUAUAAUCAACUCGCACACUUAGUGCUAUAUAAUCAAACUCGCACACUUAGUGCUGUACAAUUUAAACCCGCACACUUAGUGUCAAUCUAAUGAUCAUAAAUGUUUAUACCCGCACACUUAGUGCCGAGAUCAACAACUCAAUACAUCUCACCUCUUUUCUUUUUAUUCAACACUUUCAUCACCACAUGCAUACAUGUAUAUAAAUUUAUCAUUCCAUUCGGCAUAAUUACAUAGACAUUAUGUCUAUUUAGAUCAAUACAAAAUAUAUGCUUAAUGACUUACCUUGUGUUGGGUAAGACGGUUCCAACUCGGUUACUCGAUGAUCUUUUCUUUGCCCUUGCUUGCCUCUCCACCUUUAGCUUCUUGAGCUAAAUCGAUAAAUUAACUAGUUUAACCAUCUUGCUAAACAUUCAUACUUCAAUUACACAUGCAUAUGUAUGUUUGUAUAUUCGGCAAUGACAAUGGUAAUAUAGCAAACCUUAAUUUAACUUAUAAUUGUUCACAACACAUUUAAAGCAUCCACUCCAUUCCAUCAUUUUAAAGCACAUACAUUACUCAAUAUUAUCCACGUUCACAUUCGGCAUUUUCACAAAUACACAUGCCGAUUUCAUUCACUCAUCUCUAAUGUUAAUUAAGAAAUGCCGAAUGUCACCAACUAAAUGGCAUACACACACUCACAUGCAUAAAAGUCAUCCACACCUCCUAUAGCUCAUUCGGCAUUCACAAAAUCAUACUAUUAGAAUUCAUGUACAAUACCGAACCUUUAGACAUUCAAACAUCUACUCUAUUCUUUUCAAAUCAUCUAAACGGCAACACUCACAUUCUAGCAUUUAAAUACAAAACAUUUAUUCAAGUAACUAAGCAAGUCCAAGUUCGGCUAUUACACAUAUAAAUACUAUCAAAUUAAAUUUUUAACUAGAUCAAACAUCUCUCAUCAACAUUUAUUCAUCAAAACAUAAAGAAAAAUAAUCAAAUCUCUUCAUUAACAACCAUGGCCGAAUGCUCCAUUCACCACCCAAAUCCAAAUUUUUAACAUGGGCAAAGUAAGGAACUUAGUAACUAACUCAAAAUAAGCUAAAAUUUCAAAAUCUAACAUGAAUUACUAACCUUGUUUUAAGCUUAAGAUGGCCGAAUGCUAUAUCCCUUUUCUUCUUUAAAGUUCGGCUACUAAGGAAGAAGAUGAAACCAACAUUUUGUCUUUCUUUUGUUUUUCUAUUAUCCUUUCUUAUUUUACUUAAUUACUAACCCUUUAUUUAUUCUUUCUAACAUAACACACUAAGCCAACAUGUUCCCAACAUGUUUCCACCCAUAGCAUGGCCAACCACUAGCUCAAAUUUUGGGUAAUUUGACAUGCAAACCCAUCAUUUUCAUAACAUGCAUUAAUAGGCCACUUCACAUUUGCUUAGCACAUUUCUAAAUUUUCUCACAUAAGUCCUAUUUAGUAAAAUUCACUUACAAUUAACAAAAUUCAAACAUGAAAUUUUCACACAUGCAUAUAUACAUAUAAUAAGUAUCAAAAAUGAUGGCUAAUUAUUAGUAUGACUCGGUUUUGUGGUCCCGAAACCACUUCCCGACUAGGGUUAAUUUUGGGUUGUCACAAGUAAUGAUAUAAAGAUUAAGUGACUAAAGUAUUCAUUGCCAGAACAUAUAUUCGAAUACUCACAAUUUAACUCAUUCUUAUAAACAAUUUUAGCUUCAAAAUCAACAUAAGAGUCAUGAAUUCUUGCUUUGUUUUCAGCAAUUCGGAGAAUCUUCUGCUUAAGAGUUUUAGACAAAUUGAGUAAAUCUUGCAUGGUUAUCAACUUUGGUUAUAAUUCAACUUUGAUGAAUUAUAAUUUAAAGUAUAUUGGUUGAAUAAAUUUAAAGUAUGAAUGAUUAAUAUACUGUUUUAAUGUUCGAACAUAUAGGUAUAUACUUAUAUAGGCCUUUGCAUUUAGUUAAAGUAUGAAUGGUAUAUAAGUAUAUACAUAAAUGUUAUUGAAUUUAGUUGAAGUAUAAAGUUUAUAUAUAUAUACAAGGUUUGAAUUCACACAUGUAUAUACAUGUAUAAAUUAUUGGUUUAAUCAAAGGUAUGUAUAUAUAUGUGUACAUAAGGUUCGAAUAAAUGCAUAGGUAUAUAUAUGUAUAAACCUUUGGAUUGGAUUUAUAAUAUGUAUAUUAUACUUGUUUAAGUAGUUUCGAAUAAGCAUGCAAAUAUAUAUAUGUAUAUUCUUUUGUAUCGAAUUAAGAUAUGUCAUUAUAUAAGUAUAUGAGGUUCGAUUAUAUAUAUAUACAUGUAUAAGAUCUAGUUUUGAAGUUUAGUAUGAAUUGAUAUAUGUAUAUGUUAGUUUCGAAUAUGUAUAUAUUUACAUGUAUAAUUUCUUGUAUUGAAAUCAAGUAUGAAAUUAUAAUACAGUUUGAUUUUGUCAAGUAUGAGAAAAAACACCAGUCUCUCUUGACCUUGAGAUCACAAACUUGAAAUGAUUUUUUAUUUUUAUUCUCUUGAUCUUUUCUAUUUUUAUUUUUAAUUUAAUAGUCUUAUACAUAAUUUUUUUAUUCUUCUAGUUUCAAGAUUGAAAAAUGUUGCAAUUGUUAAAAGAUUUGAUGGUUUCCUUUGGCUGUAAAAACACUUGCAGAUCUUCUCCGUUGUAAACUAGAUGUUGAUGAACGGUGUAAAAUAUUACAUAACAAUUUUUGGGACCUACUUGAUGAUACAUGCAAUAUUCUUCCAGCAUUCAAAUUGAGUUAUUAUUAUCUUUCAUCCUAUUUAAAGCGUUGCUUUGCUUAUUGUUCAUAUUUUCCUAAACAUUAUGAAUUUUAAAUAAAAAAACUCAUUCGUUUGUGGAUGGCUACUUCAAAGAUUUGAGAUAGAGGUCAGUUUUUUAACAUUCCAGAUUUUAAAGCAAAAUGGGCCGGGCCGGGCUUGGGCAAAAUCUCAGGCCCAUAUUUCGGGCCGGGCCGGGCCCGGGCUUAGCAAUUGCGCCAAAAAUUUUUUUCAAGCCCAGCCCGAACCCGGCCCGGCCCAUGAGCACCUCUAGUACACGAGCCUAUUUCCUUAGGCAAUUACAUGCACUAAUAAUCAUGUAACGUUUGACCAUCAUUUUAACUUAAGUUGAGCUCUGUGGGGAGUUACUUAACUAGAAGAUCUUGAGUGUAUAACCAUAAACUCAACACCUAUCACAUCAUUACCAAGCACAACCUGGCAUUCUGAUACCAAUUUUUGGAAAAAAAUUCAAUUUCAAAAUGAUUUUCUUGCAUAGCAGAAAAUUAAAAUUUUAAAAAUUGACUCAGUUUGUGAUAUUUAUAAUAAUAAACCUUAAUCAAAUUUGUACUUGUGUUUUUAGCUUAGCAGACGUUCGUUGAUCCUAGCUUUUAACCAAACGAUCUUCUCCACCAUUCUCGUACCAUGAACUGUUUCGAGUGUAGCUCAAACCAAUUUAAUUGAAACACAGAACUAAAAAAAAUUCUCUUUUUGGGGUGAAAACAAAAAUUCUCUCUUUUUAAUAGAAACCGAUAGAAUUGUUAUUCCGAAAACAUAAAUGUAAUAGUUGACAAUAAAUUCUUUUUAUUUUUUCUUAAAAUUGGGUUAAUAGCUCUACCAGUGUCAUUUAUUUAUAAGAAGAGAAGGUAGAACCCUUAUUGAGUUAUAGUGAUUAUUAUAGUAAAGUUUUAAGCUCAUAUGGUUGUAUUAUGACAUGUAAAUAGUAAAAUUAUGUGAUCAAGUUUGGGAGAUUGUUGAAUAUUAUGGACAUAAAUAAUAAGAAAAAAAUUAUUAUUUAUUAUUGUAAAAAGUUAGCCCAAACUAAAAGUGAUUUAUAUGGACAAUGUUUAUUGGGCUUUAGUUAUUAAAUAAAACAAGGGUCAAACUAAUUUUUAAUUGAUCACGGGUUAAUUAGAAAUUAAGGUUAAUGAAAAGAAAGAAAGUCUUGCUACCUUAGCAUGCCUCUGUCUAUUGUUUCUAGUAUGUUUUUGGGUUUUUGUUCGUUUUAUAUUGAUUCUUUCUUUGUAGUUUGACGGUGCUGCUCUUAUUUCAUUUUCUACGUUUCUUACUCUACUCUCUAAUCGUCUUAGGUUGUAGAAUCAUGGAAAAAAGAGUUGGUAGACCUAUCACUAAAUGAUGAGGAGGAAGAAAUAUUGCAGGCACAGAUGGAUCCUGAUUUUGUACCUAAGGUUGUUGAUUUAUGUCUGAUUGGGUGUUUUCUGACUGUAAGUGUUAUUCAUUUUUCAGCAAUGAGAAGCACGAUGGAAAAUUUAUGGCAUUCAGUUAAAGGGGUCCAAAUCUCAAAUACAGGGGAGAAAAGGUUUUUGUUCAAGUUCUUUCAUAGAAAUGGAUUUGGAGAGCGUAAUAAAAGGGUCUCCGUGGACUUUUAAUAAUCACCUCUUGAUGCUACGUCGUCUGGGUGAGAGGGAAGAUCUGUUGAAGGUGCCACUAAUUCUUGUGACUUUUUGGGUUCAAAUUCAUGAAGUUCCACUAGGUUUCUUCACUGAGUCUUUAGCACGUCAAAUAAGGGGUUUUCUUAGGAAUUUUUUAGAGUUUGACGAGUCCAAUUUGGGGAAGGGGUUGUGUACCUAUUUGCAUAUAAAGGUACAGUUGGAUGUUAGAUGACCUUUGAAAGAAAGAAAAAAAUGAUGUUUUUUGUUGGAAUUUGUUCUUAUGUUAAUUUUAAAUAUUAGCGUUUAACCUUGUUUUGUUUCUUCUAUAGACAGUUAGGGACAAUGAUUCUUUUUGUUAGGCCAAAAUGAUGUUAGGGAAUGCAAUAUCUAAGAUGGGUUGGGAUCUGGCUCUAUGAGCUCAAUAGCUCUUGUAAUGAGUAGCGUGUGGUUGCGAGAAAAUGGGGAAUACUUUUAAAGGUAAUAAUUUGGAUAGGCGAAUCAAUCCUAUGUUGGGAGUAAAUUUAGAAGGGAUUUGAAUCUUGCAUCUCGUUGGGAUGGUGUUUAUUAAAGAUACAAGGACAGACAUAAAUGGAUCAUGAUUCGGAAGACAGUGUGAUUGAAGGGGGUGAUGGGAAGAAAAGACCUAGAAGAGAGGGUGACAAAUCUAUUGAAAGGGAUGAUUUGGGAUCUUUGGUAGCUAGAAAUAUAAUAGUGUUGGGAAGUAACCAUUUUAUAUCGGCGACUGCCAAUGGGUAAAUCGACUGGUCACAAUGAAAAUCAUAAGUUGGAAUGUCUGUGGGUUGGGGAGUCCACGACCUAUCAGAAGACUUUGACACAUGCUGAAGAUGUAUAAUCCCCAGGUAGUCUUCUUUAUGGAGACUAAGCUAUGCAAAAUACAGAUGAAACAUGUGAGACGAAGUUGUGGUUUUUGUAAUGGUAUUGAUGUCUCAGUUGAUGGUUCAAAAGGUCUUUGUUUGGCAUAGAAAGGUGAUACUACAAUUAAUAUUAGGAAUUUUUAUAAUAGUUAUAUUGACGUAAAAGUUGUUGAUGAUGAGGUGGGAAAUUAGUGGAGGUUUACUGGUUUUUAUGGCUCGUCGUAUGCGCAAAGUAGAGUGAAUUUGUGGAGGUUGCUGGGAAAUUUAAGGUGCGUUUAAGAACUUUCAUGAUUAGUAUGCGGUGACUUUAAUGAGAUAAUGUAAGCUACUAAAAACUUAAGGGGUUGUUGAGAGAUGAAAAGAGAAUGGAGGCCUUUAAAGGUGCUUUGGAAGAAUGUCAAUUAUUGGAUGUUGGUAACUCUAGGGUUUGGUUUACAUUAGAGAUGGGAUUUACUAGAAAAAAAUUAGAGAAAGGCUUGAUAGAAGAGUGGCGAAUGCUUAUUGGAUGUCUACGUUUCUUUAUGCAUUGGUUCAGCAUCUCCCACAUUCCUUUUCCGGUCACUGUCCACUUCUUAUUCAUACGGUUCAGCUUGUAAAUAGGUUUAUAAGAAGCAGAUUUCAUUUGAGGCAUGGUGGGUGUUAGAAGAAUCUUUUGCUAAUGUGGUGGAGAAUAUUUGGAGGUCUAGAUCAGGUGAUUUAUUGAGUAAACUAAAAACCCUUAAAAAAAUGUUUGGAAAAAUAAGUUGGACGGGUUAGACGUAAUAGGUAAGGUAUCAAGAAAAGUUUGUCAAAUAAGAAGAAUUACAUCAUGGAGAGAGAGACGAUGAGAAUUUGGUAAAGCUCAGGAUACAAAAGUAUUGUUAAAUCUUGAUAUUUAGAAAGAUGUGAUGUAUUGGGAAUAGAGAACACAUGUAAAUUGGCUAAAAUUGGGUGAAACAAACACUAUUUUUUCCAUGAGCAUGCAUCUUAACGCAUAAGUAGAAAUUCCAUUCGAAUUUUGCAAUAUGAGGAUGGGAGGGAAUUGAAUGAUGAGAGCGAUAUGGAUGAGUUCGCUUGAAAUUAUUUUCAUAAGCUUUUUUCGUCUAAUGGUGUUGGGGAUUCGAAUCAUAUACUGUCUAGCAUAGAAAGAUGUGUCACUAGUGAAGAUAAUUUCAAACUUACGUCGGCUUACAUGGAGAAUGAGGUGCGGUUGGCAUUAAAGGAAAUGGGGCCCACUAAGGCGUCUGGGGAAGAUGGUUUUCCAACUUUGUUCUUCCAAAAUUGUUGGCACAUAAUUGGAGAGGAAGUUACGACUUUUUGUUUGAACAUUCUCAAUGAAUGUAUGGUUUUUGACUUUCUGAAUGUUACCAAUAUUGUAUUAAUUCCAAAAGUCCCCCAUUCCAUGAAACUAGGGAAUUUUAGACCUAUCAGUUUAUGUAAUGUUCUUUAUAAGGUGAUUGCUAAGAUGAUAGCUAAUUGGUUUAAAGAAGUCUUUGAUGCAUGUGUUGAUAGUGCACAAAGUGCUUUUGUUCUGGGAAGGUUGAUAUAAGACAAUAUGUUGUUAGCUUAUGAAAUUUUGCAUACUUUCCAAAACAAGAGAGUGGGGAAAAAUGGAUUUAUGGUAGUUAAACUUGAUAUGAGUAAGGCUUACGAUAGGGUUGAAUGGAAAUUUCUUCGGGAUAUGAUGAUUCGUAUGAGUUUGAUUUAGCAUAGAUUUCAACCGUUAUGAAGUGUGUUUCUUCUAUCUCGUAUUCUGUUGUGGUUAAUGGGAAAGUUGGAAAGAUAUUUAAACCCACUAGGGAAAUCAAACAAGGCAACCUCUUGAGUCCAUUUCUAUUCUUGGUUUGUAGUGAAGGGCUAUUUGCUCUUAUGAGGUUGGCAAUGAGAGAUGGACUAAAAAGAGGUGUUAAGGCAAGUAGGAGUAGCCCACAAAUUUCCCAUUUACUAUUUGCUAAUGUUUGCAUACUGUUUGGUGAGGUAAAUGGUAGUGGGGCUCAAACGUUAAAAUCAAUGUCAAAGGAGUAUGAGAGAUGUUUUGACCAAUGUGUUAAUUUCGAAUCCAUAACUUUUUACAACUCUAACACCUCAGAGGAUGAUAGACGACUGGUUUCUGGCAUUUUAGGGGUGAGAUGUUCUAAUGAUCCUGAAAGGUACCUUGGGUUGUCUAGUAUGGUGGGUAGAAGCAAAAAUUUUUCCUUCUAGAAUAUUAAGGAUAAAUUUUUGAAAAGAAUUGAAAGCUGGAGUGUUCGUUUCUUAUCUCAAUGAGGGAAGAAAACCUUUAUUAAGACUGUUAUGCAAGCUAUUUCUAUAUAUUCAAUGGUGUGCUUCUUGCUUCCAAAGACGCUUUGUGGUGAUUUGAAGAACAUUAUGGCUAAGUUUUAGUGGCAGAAAGGCCACGACAAGAAAGGGAUUCAUUGGUACGGUUGGCAAGAGUUGUGUUAGCUCAAAGAAAAUGGCGGAAUGGGUUUUCGUAGUCUUACAAAAUUCAAUAUUGCCUUAUUAGCAAAACAGGGGUGGCGUUUAGUUAUUUAUCUAAUUUCCCUUUUAGUGCAUGUUUUAAAAGCUAAGUACUAUCCAUCCACAGAUUUUCUUAAUACAAGAUUAGGGAGUCUACCUUUUUAUACCUAGAAUAGCGAGGGAUCUUAUUCAGAAGGGGCUGUGUUAGAGGGUUGGAUCGGGCUAGAAAAUAUCUAUAAGGGAAGAGAUGUGGUUACCAGGACCUAUAGGGAGCAGAUUAAAUGUUAGUAUUAAUGGUGAUGAGGUGAGGUUAGUUUUGGAUCUAAUAGAUGCACAUUCUAGAGAGUGAAAAGCUGGCCUUAUUUUUAGUAUCUUUCUUACAAAUCUUACGAGUAAAAUUCUUAAAAUCACUUUGGCAAGGGAAGCUUACGAGGAUGUACAAGUUUAGAGUGGUGAGCCUUAUAGAGAGUUCACAGUAAGAAGUGCCUACAAACUAUGACAGGUUAGUCGUAAUGAUAAUUAUUUACAAACCGAUCUAAAAAAGUUUUUACAAAAAACUUUGGAGCUUACAACUUUCCUUGAAAAUUAAAACUACAGUAUGGAAGAUUUCUUGUAAUUAUAUUCCUACUAUAGCUAAUCCAAGGCAUAGAAGAAUAGUCGCGGAUGUAACUUUACAGAGGUGUUGAGGAGCUGCUAAGAAUAUCAACCACGUCUUUCAAGAUUGCCCUAUAACUGUGGAAACAUGGGUCAAUUUAAACUUGUUUUGGACUUUAUCAAAUACGAAUCUUAAUAGCUGGUUAGGAUUACCUACGUUUUCAAAAUUGGAACUAGUGAGCAAUGUAGGCUAUUCUAUUGUGGCCUCUGGGCAAUAUGGACGAGUCAGAAUCAACUUGUACAUGAAAGGAAAGCAUAUUCUGGUGAGGAUAUCUUGGAUUUGAUUCUUAAAUAUAAGGGGGAAUUGGAUGGAUUAGAUACCGUGAGAUGUACCGGAUCUAGGGGACAAGAGUUAUGAAAACCCCCAAAUGUGCCAAACAUCAAGAUCAAUUUUGACGGUGCUUUUGACCUAUAACAGAAUAGAUCGGGCUUUAGGGUGGUGGCUAGGAACUCAUUGGGUGAGAUUUUAGCCUCUAAGACAAUCUUUCACUCAACGGUGUUAUCUUCGUUUGUAGCGGAGGCUCACGCAUGUCUUCAGGCAAUCUUGUUAGGGAUUCACCUGGGUAUUGAAUCGGUGGUUAUUGAAGGUGAUUCAUUAACAAUAAUUAAGAAAUGUAAGGCAAUUUUACCAGAAAAAUCUGAAAUCGGGGCCUUUAUGCGAAACAUUUAUCAAAUCAGAGGGUAUUUUCAGCGCAUAUUCUUCCAAUAUAUACCUAGAUCAGCUGGCACACUUGCUCAUAAUCUAGCUAUAGAGAGUUUAAAGAAGGGGGAGGAAGUUUACCUUAACGGAGGAGUGCUUGACUUUGCACGGUAAGAGCUAGAGAGGAGAAAGCAACGAAACCCAAACUGAUUUAACUGCAUGUAGAAUUUUCUAGAAGGAGCAAUGGGUAGUAGAAGGGACUUGAGAUUUUUUGGAAAUUGCUACUGGAUGGUAGUUGGAAAAGAUAAGGUGGGGCGAUAAAUGCGGUUUUGUUGGAUGAUAAUUGCCAAAGGACUGGAUAGGGUUUGUUAUGUAGGGUGUUUUAAUUUUGUUAUUUUAUUUGACUUUGGGCUGAAGCCAUUGUUCUUUUUGGGUUGCCCGUUGGAGUCUUUUGGUUUGUUUAUUUAAAUGAAAUUCAAUCCAAAUUUUAUUUCAAAAAAGGAAAGAAAAAGAAAUUAAGGGUAAUGUUAAAAGCUUAUAUAUUAGAGUUAUGGUCUCAAAUUAUAAAUAUGUAAGUUUUUUUUACAUCAA